ACCUGAACGUGCAGUAUCUGACCAGUGAGGAGCCGUGGCCAGGGCAGCUGAGUGGCUCCUCACUUGCUGAUGUUAAUUAUGAAGUGAAAGUAUUUAAGAAAGAGAUGGAAAACUACGAGAAACACAUGUCCAAGGUUCUUCAUGAGGAGAUUGGUGGGAUAAAGGCAGAAACUUCCCGCAUAUCAGAGGACUUGAAGAAGUUCCAGGAGGCACAGGACAUGGCUGUCACCCAGGAUCUCUGUGAGGAGGUUGACAAGUUAAAGACAACCCAC